GUGCACACUCACAGUGGUCUCUGAUGUCUGUUCCUCUUCUUAUAAGGACGUCAGUCCUAUCAGAUUAGAGCCCUACCCGUAUGACCUUAUUUAACCCUAAUUACUUCCUUAAAGGCCCUAUCUACAAAUACAGUCACAUUGAGGGUUAGGGCUUCAACAUGUGAAUUUUGAGGGAACACAAUUCAGUCCAUCAUAGGUGGGGAUGGGAGUCAAAGUGGGAAAGCUGGAGAUUGGUUAUGUGUGGGAGGAGGUGGAGAUGGGAAGGGUAAAUUGAGGAAAUCUGAAAGAGUUGCAGAAGGAAGCACUUGUAGCCGACCAUGGAGAAGUUAGGAUGGAGAGGAAGUUUAGUGCGGCCAAGAAUUGUCAGAAAGAAGUUGACGUGUAUUUCUUAGUUUCCUAGGAUACCUACUGUAAGAUUUACAGACCUCUGAUACCAAACAAGCCCAUAGAUUACUAGAGAAGGAAAAAAAAAUCUUUUCACAGUUCCUGCCUUUGGGAGAAGACAAACAAUGAACACGGAAACAACUUACUCAUGGCUAAUUAUGAUGUAAUAAAGAGUUAAGGGGCAGGGGGCAGCUUUAGAUUCAGUGGCCAGGGAAGGGCUCUCUGAGGUGACAUUUCAACCUGAAGUAUGAGAUAAAACCUGAGGGAAAGUGUUUGAAGCGGAGAAAACUGCAAGUGCAAAAGAUGAGGGAACGGAAGCUCAAAUGGGUUAAGUGACUGAAGCAAGAUUGCACAGCUAGUAAAGUGACAAACCUGGUACGCAAACCUAGUUCUUCAGAGAUCAAGUUCAAAGCUACUUCCACCACACAACACUGCUGUUCAUGGACCAGUUCUUUCUCCACAACCUUUGUCACUGAACUUCUUAAAUAUGAUCACAGGAAAAGUGUAGUAAAAAGAAUCAAAAUCG